GACUUCUUAGCUCAGUGGUAGAGCGUGUGAUUCCAGUUUACAUUAGACCGAUGUAAUCGUGGUUCCACAAGGUCAUCCGUUCAAUCCGGGUAGAGGUCA